GUUUCAGGGCGAGGUGGAAAUCCUCACUGGCGGUAAGCACGGCGGCGUCUCCGCGCGCCGGCAAGCCCGCGACCCUGUGCGAGAGCACAGGCUGACCCGGUGAAAGUCCGGGGCCAACGGUUACAGUCCGGAUGGAAGAGG
rnacentral:ncRNA from 1 species